GACGAACGCUGGCGGCGUGCCUAACACAUGCAAGUCGAACGGAGCACUUCGGUGCUUAGUGGCGAACGGGUGAGUAACGCGUGAAGAACCUGCCUUUCAGUGGGGACAACAGUUGGAAACGACUGCUAAUACCGCAUAAUGUUAUUUGGGGGCAUCCUCGAAUAACCAAAGAUUUAUUGCUGAAAGAUGGCUUCGCGUCUGAUUAGCUAGAUGGCGGGGUAACGCCCACCAUGGCGACGAUCAGUAGCCGGUCUGAGAGGAUGAACGGCCACAUUGGGACUGAGAUACGGCCCAG
rnacentral:rRNA from 1 species